rnacentral:misc_RNA from 1 species
GCCGUUUCUGAACCUUGAAAAACAGCCAAAAAAUCCUAUCUAAUCAACAGCUUGUAGGGCGUCACUUUGUCCUAGGAGCUUGUCUGUUUUCAUGGCACAAAUCGACAAUCGAAGGCGCAUUUUCCGCGACCCGAUUCGAUCUCUCUGCCGAACCAUUUUCGAAGGCAACUCAUGACCGAACCAGCCCGGCAAACCAGCGCCGAACCUGUCGCCAAUUCCGGUGCGGACUACGGCGCUGAANGCUGAAUCGAUCCGCGUGCUGAAGGGUCUCGACGCGGUUCGCAAGCGGCCGGGCAUGUAUA